UGAGACUUCACAUGCUUUAGCAGCAAGCGCCUGCACGUGUGUUUGUGUGCACGUGCACGUGUGUGUGUAGUGAAGCAAGCGGACAGACAUGAUUGUGCUGAGGGUGGUCGCGUUACUACAGGGUAUGCUGCUGGCCACACACUGCCAGCUCGGAGCGCGGGGCCCACAGGAGGGCGCGAGGGAGAGGCCAGCGCGUGCCCGCUGGGACCACGCGCCAACACAGCCAGCUUUCGGAAUGAGCCGCCCCAACGCCGGGGAAUACGGGCAGGGCCCGCAUGCCUUUGGAGACGUCCGCCCGGCCCAGGAGCAGGGGCACGGAGAACGCAGCAGCAGGCAUCCCUCGCAGGGACUGCCGGAGGAGACGCCGGACACUUCAGCAGACACAGGCAGCCCGGCCAUGCCGGCACGCACGGGGAACUGGUGUGCGUUUGUGCACAAACGUAUGGUUACCGUGGCAGUGUCCUGUGGUACUGAGAAAUACACCAUCAAGUCCCACAGCCCCUGUCCGAAUGGAACACCAGACUGUCAGCUAGUCAUGUACAAACUUUCGACACGACCGGUGUACAGAGAGAAACAGAAGAUCUUCACUGCUCUCCUGUGGAGAUGUUGCCCAGGUCACGGGGGAAAGAACUGCGAGGAACUAGUCGCAGAUAGCCGUGACCCAGAGAACGAAGACUCCCGCAGGCUGGACCCGGCAGGCCCUGAGCUCCUGCACACAGGGUAUGAGACACUAACCCACAACCAGAACAAUGAGCAAAAUGACCAUCAAGAUGAGGCCCUGAGCUCCAGACAGAACCAAUCAGAAGAGCACAUGUAUGACUAUGCCAAUAGCCCACAAGAGCAGUAUGAAAGAGGGGAUCCCAAUAAUGUGUAUGACGAACGCAGGCAUCUCCUACCUGAAGCAUCAGACCCAAACCCUGUGCUCCUGUCUGUCCUGAGAGACAUCAUGAUGUCUCACCUACAGCCAGUACUCGACGCAUUCAACCAGACACUAGAACGCCUGUCUGAGGAGAUGAGGGACCUUCAGAGGGAUGUGGACUACCUGCGGCUCCAUCAGAGGCCGGAGACGGAGCCCGGCGUGCCGGGUGGUCUAGGCGACGGACUGCAGCAGCUGCCUGAAAGCUUCCAGCAACUGAUGGACCUCAAGGUGGAGCUUGUGCUCCAGCAAGAUGAGAUGAUGCAGAUGUUGCACGCAGAGCGUGCCACGCUGCAGUACAACCUGACCAACUUCAAGAAAGACACGGACGUCAAAAUUAAACGCAACCAAAAGACACUGCAGACAAACAUCCUGUUCCUGAAUUCCUCACUUUUGGAGGUGAAACAAGAGCAAGACUGGCUGAAGACCGAGCUUGGGAGCAUUUUGGCACAUGCAAGAAUGCCAACCAGACAGGAAAAACCUCAGGAAGACGUAGCCGUCUGGGAGGCCAUUGCCCGCCUGGACAAUAAAGUGGUCAACAACACCGUGACACUCGGUGCCCUCAACAUAGGCCAAGCCCAAACAUCAAAGGACAUUGAACACCUUCAGCGGGACUGGGAGACCUUGGAGAAACGCAUAGACAAAACCCAUCGAAUGAAUGAGGACAGGUAUUACGAGGCUUUCCUUGAAGUGGAUGGAGCCAAACAGGUGGUUCAGAAGAACGUCCAUGACCUGGCCACCAAUAUCACCAUACUCCAAGAGAUGCUGCAGGAGAUGGAGGAAGACGUGGACUAUGUAUACAAAGGUUUGUAUAAGAAUAUAAGCUCCAGUGGUGCGUACUGCGACUGUGAGGCCCUCGGCAAAUCCGUGGCAGAGCUGAGACAGGCUUUGGCUAAUGUCACAGCGCUCGCUAACAAAAACAGGCUGAUUAUUGACAAAGCAGAGGAGGGGUUAUACUGGGGUGAUACUAACAGCGGUGCAUCAGUGGAUGAACUAAAGAUGGAUUUACUGAACGUGCAAAACUCGCUGGCAUUCGAGCAAAGCAAGAGCAGGACGCUGCACCACAAUGUGAGCACUCUCCGUAAGGCUGUCUUAGGGAGCCAAAUGGACAUCGAAGCGCUACAGGAACUGGACAGAACAAAGACUGCUUCUAUCAAAGAGCUGUAUGGCUCAUUCAACUCUCUGCUGAACGAUGUUUUAAGGCAUACCGAAAUAGUGAGGAUCCUUCUUGGCGAGGAGGUGCUAGAAUUUAUAGAUUGGCCUCAGCAAGAUCAAGAGACCUACUCCCUCCCCGCCCUGAAGGAGAGCAUCAGGGACAUGCAGGAACAGAUAAACGGGCACGCCCGGAGCCUGGCCUCUGUGCUGAAUUCUGCGCCACCCGAUACGGCCGGUGAUGAGCCCUCGGUGCUGGCCGACUGGAUCUCAACGGGUCUCAAAUGGGGACAGGGUGCCCAGAAAUUGGAACCAUCCUCAAAGGAAGACAAUACAGACCUGAACUUUUUGGUUUUGGAGAAAACAGUAGAACAGCUUCGAGCACAAGUAGUCAGGCUUGAAGAGAAGCAGUGCAUAUCCUGCUGCAACUGUACCAAAGGUGCUGCCCCCAAUGGUGUGGAGGGAAAACUACAGACAGAGCUGACUACUGUGCGCAAGAGUCUAGAUGAGCACCUAAGGAUGUUUAGCAGACUUUUCAGCAAUACAGAAGGUCUGCUAGAGUCUGAAGCAACGUUAGACCUGGACAGACUGUCUUCUCUGAUGAAGGAAAAAGAAACCAAACAGCAACAAAAGAGGGGAAAGAAGAGAGCAGGUGCAAGAGGAGGAGAACACAAGGAGCAUGCUGACCUUCGCAGCAAGAGGGACGCAUCACUGGAAACUGCAGUGUUUAGCAAGCUACCUGACGGCCCACUGAUGUUCCUGGCGAGCAGCCAAGAUGGCGUCAACACGCCUGGCACGGUUGUGUUCGAGACGGUGACCCUAAACCGUGGGCAAAUGUACUCGCCCAAGACGGGCACAUUCCGAGCGCCUAGACCGGGGGUUUACCUCUUUGUGCUGACACUGGACUUUGGGCCGGGGCCUUCUUUAGCCCGUCUGAAGAGAGGGGAGGAGGUAUCUGCCUCCCUGCAGCAGGGCCAGAGGAGGCUGGCAGGACCCGCGACUCGGGUCUGCCUCCUCCAGCUGGAGCAGGGUGAGGAGCUCCAGCUGGAAAUAGUACGCGGGACCCUGGAGCACAACCCACAGGACAACACCUUCGCAGGACUUCUGCUCUUACAGACCACCUGAGGGCGCUCUUCUGCAAGAAAGUACUGAGACGGGCGCUGGGAUGACAACAGGCAGAUGACACGCAGAAGUUCAUGUUCCCUGCAAGUUUCCAAUAGAACUUUCAUACUGAUUUCUCUUUCAUCACUGAUUAGGCACAUAAAGCUUUUAGAGGUCAGCCAUUCUACUGAGGACUGGGAAGACUCUCUCACUCCACACGUACAUCAGUCACACAGUAAAGGGCAAGGCUGCUGAAGAGAAGCCAUCAUGAAGCCAGCUCUGAAAGCCCUAGGAACCCAGGUGCUUUGCUGCAACGCACGAGACGAAAAGAGGCAGAUGCUUUUGUCACGUUGGAACAGACACCACUACUUAUUCCCCUUUCAAAGGUUCAGUUUGAGAGAACAAAGCUUUGUGCCAGAUUACUCUGUACAGCAACCAUUUGAUAUGAAGGACUUCACAUAAAUACUUAAGUUUAAAAAAAA